rnacentral:rRNA from 1 species
CCUACGGGAGGCAGCAGUGAGGAAUAUUGGUCAAUGGGCGAGAGCCUGAACCAGCCAAGUCGCGUGAGGGAGUACUGCCCUAUGGGUUGUAAACCUCUUUUGUCGGGGAGUAAACGCCGGACGUGUCCGGCUGUUAUAGUACCCGAAGAAAAAACAUCGGCUAACUCCGUGCCAGCAGCCGCGGUAAUAGGGAGGAUGCGAGGUUUAUCCGGUUUUUGUUGGUUUAAGGGGGCCGCAGGCGGACUUUUUAGUUCGCGUUCAAAUCGUGGGGGUAAACCCCAUCUAGCCGUUGGAACUGGGGGUCUUGAGGGUGCGAGAGGUAGGCGGAAUGCGUGGUGUAGCGGUGAAAUGCAUAGAUAUCACGAAGAACUCCGAUUGCGAAGGCAGCAUACCGGUGCACAACUGACGCUCAGGCACGAAAGCGUGGGUAUCGAACAGGAUUAGAUACCCCUGUAGUC